CUCCACCCCCUUCUCUUGGUGUGUCAUUUCUACACACCAGAAAAGAGCCAACAUCAGGGAAAUGGCAUCCGGAACUUACCAUGGACAUCAUUGGACUCUUUUGAAAGAAAACGGCAAGUCGGAUAUAGUUAAAUGUAAUCAGCAAGACUGGAAUGAGAUAGAACAAGAUGAACUGACUGAAGAGUACUUGAUAGUGCUUCUGGAACAGAGUAGGUAAGCAGAAGCAUAUGUUAUUAGAAAUUAUUGUUUCCAUUGUAGCAUGAAGUCUCAGCAGUGAACUGACAACAAAACUCAGGAUCCAAGCUGCAACAAGCAUGAAUAUCAUGGUUGUGAUGUUUGGGGUUCUGUAAGGUCUCAAGAUAAUUCUGGCUCUGGUUAUGGAGACAACACAAAGAGAGUAGAUACUAUCAGCUGAAGAGAAGACUGAGCAGAACUUGAAAAACUUGCAGAACACAUCUCCCCAAAGCCAUGUGUAGUAGACUGAAGCCAAUACAAAGGGCAUCAGGACAAGUGUAAGCAAAUCUGCUACCACCAUGCUUAGGAGAAGAACAUCCUUGAAGUGACUGGCUUGACCUUGAAGGAACUGGGGCAGUGACGGAGGACAGGGAGCUCUGGCGUGGACUGGUCCAUGAGGUCAUGAAGAGUCGGAAACGAUUAUGCGACUGAGCAGCAGCAAAAUUAUACAAACAUUCAGAACAUUUUCCAUUGGUAACACAUGUUUACAUUCUUCCCCCUUUUUCUCCCUCCCUCCCCUCCCCUUGCCGGGGAACAGUUUGCAAAUUUCCUGUAUUUAAUACGAUUGUUCAAUCAUCAAGAUAAUCUUGUUUAUUUCCUUAUAUUUGUCUUUCCCCUUUAUUCUGUAAAUUAAGUCUUUCCAUUUUGCCUCCCAUGACUUUCUGAUUUGGCCCAUUCUAUAGUAACUUUUCCUUUCACUAAUGUAGUCUUGGAGCAGGUAGUCUGCUAAAUAUUUAUACCAUGUUUUAAUGUCCCAUUUCUUUUGGUCCUUCCAGCCUAGGGUGACUGAGGCUUUAAU
rnacentral:lncRNA from 11 species